ensembl:miRNA dre-mir-21-1 microRNA 21
UGUCAAAUAGCUUAUCAGACUGGUGUUGGCUGUUAAGAUUGCAAGGCGACAACAGUCUGUAGGCUGUCUGACA